AAAAAAAAAAAAAAAAAAAAAAAAAAGGAUUCUAUGGAGUCUCCUAUCUACCCACUCCAGGACUUGUGUGAGGAUCAAAUGAGAUGAGGCAUGGGAAAUGCUUCACAGACAUUUGGUUGAACUGUAAAAUGUUUAUUCCUGGCUAUAAAGCAAGUCAGGUUCGUGGACUGAAGAAACUGCAAGGAGGCUGGUCACUAGGGAGGGGAAGCUGGGCAGUGAUACAUGGCGUCAUUACCCGGCAUCCACAGCUGCC